UGGCGGACGGGUGAGUAACGCGUGGGUAACCUGCCUCAUACAGGGGGAUAACGGUUAGAAAUGACUGCUAAUACCGCAUAAGCGCACAGUACCGCAUGGUACGGUGUGAAAAACUCCGGUGGUAUGAGAUGGACCCGCGUCUGAUUAGGUAGUUGGUGGGGUAACGGCCUACCAAGCCGACGAUCAGUAGCCGACCUGAGAGGGUGAUCGGCCACAUUGGGACUGAGACACGGCCCAG
rnacentral:rRNA from 1 species